CACGGUCCAGACUCCUACGGGAGGCAGCAGUGGGGAAUAUUGCACAAUGGGCGCAAGCCUGAUGCAGCCAUGCCGCGUGUAUGAAGAAGGCCUUCGGGUUGUAAAGUACUUUCAGCGAGGAGGAAGGCAUUAAGGUUAAUAACCUUGGUGAUUGACGUUACUCGCAGAAGAAGCACCGGCUAACUCCGUGCCAGCAGCCGCGGUAAUACGGAGGGUGCAAGCGUUAAUCGGAAUUACUGGGCGUAAAGCGCACGCAGGCGGUCUGUCAAGUCGGAUG
rnacentral:rRNA from 1 species